AAAUAAAUUUUUAUAGUUUAAAAAAUUUAUUAUUAAUAUAUUUUACAUAUGAAUUAUAGUAUUGAUUUUUAAAUAUUUAAAUAAUAUUUAAUUUAAAUUUAUAAUAGUAAGUAAUAUUAAAAAUUUAAGAAAUUAAGAUUUAGUAAUAUAAAAAUUAAUAACAAAUUUUGUGCCAGCAGUUGCGGUUACACAAAAAUUAAAAUAAAUUUUAUUAGUAAGUUAAUUAAUAUAUUUGGGUUAAUAUUUAAUUAUAAAUAUUAGAUUAUUAGGUGAAAUUUUAAUUUAAUUAAAAUAUUAUUUGAAUAUUAUAUGAAUUAAGAAAUUUUAUUAUAAACUAGGAUUAGAUACCCUAUUAUUAAAAAUUUAAAUUAAAAUACUAAAAUAGUAAAUAUAAUUUAUUUAAACUUAAAUAAUUUGGCGGUAUUUUAGUUUAUUUAGAGGAAUCUGUCCAAUAAUUGAUAGUCCACGAAUAAAUUUACUUAAUUUUUUUUAUUUUGUAUAUCGUUGUUAAAAAAAUAUUUUUUAUAAAUAAAUAAUAUUUAAAAAUUUAUAAAAUAAAUUAAAUCAGAUCAAGAUGCAGAUAAUAAUUAAGAAUGAGAUGGAUUACAAUAAAUUUAUUUAAAUGAAUUUUAAUUUGAAAUAAUUAAUUGAAAGUGGAUUUAAAUGUAAUUUUAUUUAUUUUAUUAAAAUGAUUUAAGAUUAAAAUAUGUACAUAUUGCCCGUCGCUUUCAUAAAUAAAUUGGAAUAAGUCGUAACAAAGUAGAGGUACUGGAAAGUGUUUCUAGAAAGAU
rnacentral:ncRNA from 1 species